rnacentral:rRNA from 1 species
CACGGGGGGAGCAAGCGUUGUUCGGAUUCAUUGGGCGUAAAGAGCUCGUAGGUGGCUCUGUAAGUCGGUGGUGAAAGCCCACGGCUCAACCGUGGAUACGCCUCCGAAACUGUGGAGCUUGAGGCUGGGAGAGGAAAUCGGAAUUCCUGGUGUAGCGGUGAAAUGCGUAGAUAUCAGGAGGAACACCGGUGGCGAAGGCGGAUUUCUGGACCAGUUCUGACACUGAGGAGCGAAAGCCAGGGGAGCAAAC